GCCCCUGCCUGCCACACCAAGCAUUAGGCCACCAGGAAGACCCCCAUCUGCAAGCAAGCCUAGCCUUCCAGGGAGAAAGAGAAGUUUCUUCAGGACAUAACUGAUGCUGAGAAGUAUUUUAUUGGCUUAAUUUACCAUCGUGAAGAGAAAAGGUGGCGUUGGAUCAACAACUCUGUGUUCAAUGGCAAUGUUACCAAUCAGAAUCAGAAUUUCAACUGUGCGACCAUUGGCCUAACAAAGACAUUUGAUGCUGCAUCAUGUGACAUCAGCUACCGCAGGAUCUGUGAGAAGAAUGCCAAAUGAUCACAGUUCCCUGUGACAAGAACUAUACUUGCAACUCUUUUUGAAUCCAUACAGGUCGUCUGGCCAAUGAUUCUUUUACUUACCUAUCUGUCUACCAGUAGCGGUCCUUGCCCAUUUGGGAAACUGAGCUUCUUUCUUCUGCACUGGGGGACUGGAUGCUAGCCAUCUCCAGGAGACAGGAUCAGUUUUACGGAAACAACUCAGUUAGUAUAGAGAUGAGGUCCGCUUCUGUAGUACUGAGCAUUUCUGACUGAUCAAAAAGGCCUAGUCUGUUGACAGGGUUUGUUUUAUUUUAGCCUCAGAGUAUACCAUACUACUAGGGAGUAACUGUAGAGUGAGAAAUUAUAAACAUUAUUUAGGGAUUACCAUGGUGGAAGAGGGAUAAACAUAGGUCCUGUGACUUCGUCUCUGUUCUCAAGGGAACCCCAUUCACAUGCCCCUCCUAACUCCACAAGCGAGGGUAGCAGAGGCUCUCCUCAGUCUGAACUAAGGCUUGGCCUUGGGGAGGGCUCCUAGUGCUGAGCUUGGAGCAGCACGGACAGCAGCAUUGUUUAUGGGAAUGGAGAGAGGUCUGGGCAGGAUAGGAACCUUCUUGGAGACCCCUUUGAAGAAAACCAGGCAGCCAAGGGAGCCAAACACACUAGAUUUCUGUUCUUCAGCAAAGCCCUGAAGAGACACUUAAGCUAAAAAUUCCCUUGUCAUAUUUCUGAAACUCCAUUAUAACAUAUGUAACUCCUUUGUAACCAAAAUUUAGGUAAGCAGGCUUCCUUUGCUCUGAAGGUUUUGAGUACCUGGCUGUAUUUGUUGAGUAUUUUUAAAAUUUUGGAUAGUCUCUUAGGCAACAAUAAUCACAAUAUAUUCAUCCCUUCAGUUCUGGAGAAAGCCUGAUACCAGGCACAGCCUACUGACCCCAAGGAGCCUGGCACUGAUUGGCAUCACAUUGAUCUAGAACUGGUCCAGCCGACGAAGAGUAGGAAAAGAGAAGGGCUGCUCAGGGAAACAUUGGCUGGGGGCACGGAAUAAGCACAUAGUAAAAAGGGAACAUCAGGGUCAAAUGGAAAUCACCUGAGACAGGAAACAGGGAGUUCAUUUGGCCACACUGGAAGAAAGGCAAGAAAGAGGAAGACAAGUCUUGGAGUACCCUGGCUGUUCUCCACACUCACAAGACAUCAGCUAUAUACUCUGCUUGGUGCAUAAGAAAGAGAAAAGAGAUGCCUUUUGUGUUUUGAGUAAGAAUAAUUAAACCAUAAGGAAGACCAUGUAUAAAACUGAUGGAAAUAAUAGUCACCAAAGUACAGCACAUACCAUUUUGUGUCUAAUAACAAUGUAGCACAGUAAUGACUGUACAUGUCAUUGUAUGUAUACCAAACAAGAUUGUUGUAAAUCAUAUUUUUUAUUACAACACUAAGUUCUGCUUCUGCAUUCCUAGGUUUCAUCAUUUUUGGCUCCUUAGCAUGGCCACUUACAAUUUUUUAACAUGAGAUAACACAUCAGGUGUCAGAACUUGCUUGAAGGGAAUUACCAGAAGUAAUUUGUGUUUGAGAUGGGGUGGAAAUUGGAAUUAUAUUAGUAGCCGGUGGAGAUACAAGUUCUCUGACUGUGUUGGGAAAGGAUAAGUGCUACCGUUGAGAAGGGAAGAAAGGCUGAGUCUAGGUGGAGAAAAAUAUCAACAGAACUCUAGCCAAAGGCAAGCCCCAGAACUCAGACAACAGAAAGGAAAUCCUAAUCCUUCUGUUUUGAGAAGAGAGAACUGUAGUUGCUUCACUUCCUAUUUCAUGACAGAAUAACUGCAAACUUUUAAGAUCAGGAAAUGUAGACAUCUAGUGAUUUCUUUAGUAGACAGUUUAAUUUCCCCCAAGAUUAGGAGACACUUCUGUGCAGGUUCUAAAAGGAGCCCAAUGGCCUGGGGUGGGAGUGGGGAGUAGAUAGGGAAUAUGUGGGAUUUGGUUUAAGUUCAUCAUUGGAAGAGUUCCUGGAUCCUUGCAAGCUUAGAUAAAUGUGAUCUUUAUUAGAUAGCAGUGGCAUGCUUUAAAAAAAAAAAAGGCAAUGAAAAUUUAGCAAGCCACUGAAUUUGAGUUUUCACUUUGUUUCUAAUAUGCUGUGUGAAUCAGUACAGUUUUCUUACCCUUUCUUGGUCUUAAUUUCCUUACUGAUAAAAUGGGGUAGUAAUACCUAUCUCAAAAAAUUAUUGCACAUAUUAAAUAACAUUCCUCUAUGUAUCUCAAUGGCAUUAGACAUUAGGAGAAGCAUUUUGUGGAGGAUUUGAAGUUGAGAUCUUCAUCCAAGAAGUAGCUUUUCAAUUUGCUAGAAGCUUAAUGUAGGCAAGCCACUUCAUUUUUCAGAACUUGUUUACUCAUUUAUAAUAUGGGAAUAAAAAUUUGUGCAAGUCAGAGAAGGGUGCCUUAAAAAUGUUGUGGCCAAGCCACAUGAGAUCAAAGACACACUUUUCAUGACCUCAAAUGUGGGCCCAGCCUAGGUCAGCCAACCCCCAUCCAACCCUUAGACUCACGAACAAAUCCACCUGAGAUCAGCAGAGCCACCCUAGAUCAGCUGAAACUCUAAGCACAAAAAUAAAAACUUAUCACUGUAUACCACUGGAGUUUUCUGGUUAUCUCUCGUAUAGCAAAAUCUAACUGAUGCAAUCUCCAUCUGGCCUUCAUCCUUCUCCCUUUAUUGUCCUUUCGUG
rnacentral:lncRNA from 1 species